GACGAACGCUGGCGGCGUGCUUAACACAUGCCAGUCGAACGGAAAGGCCCUGCUUUUGUGGGGUGCUCGAGUGGCGAACGGGUGAGUAACACGUGAGUAACCUGCCCUUGACUUUGGGAUAACUUCAGGAAACUGGGGCUAAUACCGGAUAGGAGCUCCUGCUGCAUGGUGGGGGUUGGAAAGUUUCGGCGGUUGGGGAUGGACUCGCGGCUUAUCAGCUUGUUGGUGGGGUAGUGGCUUACCAAGGCUUUGACGGGUAGCCGGCCUGAGAGGGUGACCGGCCACAUUGGGACUGAGAUACGGCCCAGACUCCUACGGGAGGCAGCAGUGGGGAAUAUUGCACAAUGGGCGGAAGCCUGAUGCAGCAACGCCGCGUGCGGGAUGACGGCCUUCGGGUUGUAAACCGCUUUCGCCUGUGACGAAGCGUGAGUGACGGUAAUGGGUAAAGAAGUACCGGCUAACUACGUG
rnacentral:rRNA from 1 species